rnacentral:rRNA from 1 species
CCUAUGGGAGGCAGCAGUGGGGAAUUUUGGACAAUGGGCGCAAGCCUGAUCCAGCAAUGCCGCGUGCAGGAUGAAGGCCUUCGGGUUGUAAACUGCUUUUGUACGGAACGAAACGGUCCUUUCUAAUACAAGGGGCUAAUGACGGUACCGUAAGAAUAAGCACCGGCUAACUACGUGCCAGCAGCCGCGGUAAUACGUAGGGUGCGAGCGUUAAUCGGAAUUACUGGGCGUAAAGCGUGCGCAGGCGGUUAUAUAAGACAGAUGUGAAAUCCCCGGGCUCAACCUGGGACCUGCAUUUGUGACUGUAUAGCUAGAGUACGGUAGAGGGGGAUGGAAUUCCGCGUGUAGCAGUGAAAUGCGUAGAUAUGCGGAGGAACACCGAUGGCGAAGGCAAUCCCCUGGACCUGUACUGACGCUCAUGCACGAAAGCGUGGGGAGCAAACAGGAUUAGAUACCCUGGUAGUCCACGCCCUAAACGAUGUCAACUGGUUGUUGGGUCUUCACUGACUCAGUAACGAAGCUAACGCGUGAAGUUGACCGCCGUGGGGAGUCGGCCGCAAGGUUGAAACUUCAAAGUAGUUAGUUGGCGNGNGAGNGCGACGACGACGACGACGGAGGAGGAGG